ensembl:lncRNA
GGCAUAGAGACAGCAGGAUUCAUCUAGAAAAAGGCACAGACCUCCCUUCUCUGCAGUGGAUUCUUUACCAGCUGAACCACAAGGGAAGCCCAAGAAUAUUGGAGUGGGUAGCCUAUCUCUUCUCCAGCGGAUCUUCCUGACCCAGGAACUGAAUGGGAUCUCCUGCAUUGCAAGCAGAUACUUCACCAACUGAACUACCAGGGAAGCCCAAGAGUUCAACAAUCUGUUACCUCAGUAACAGCUCAGGACGACAGUGAGAGGAGUGUCCCAAGGAUAUCUUGAGUGAUUAUUGCAGAAGCCAGGAUUUACAGCAAGGAAGAACUUCAUCAAGAUACCGGGAGAAGCAGAGAUAAGACUCAUGACCGUAUCAGUGGAGCCCAUGGAUUUAAAAACUCAAGAUGUGGGCUCAGUCCCAGGGUCAGGAAGAUCCCCUGUAGAGGGAAAUGGCAACCCACUCCAGUAUUCUUGCCUAAAAAUCCUGUGGAUAGUGGAGCCUGCUCUGCCAGGAUCAGCCCCAAGCACUGCCUGCAUUGCCACAGCAACAGCAGCAACACAAGCAUCUAAAAUUCACUCCCUCCUCCAAAAAUAUCUCUCUCUCUGACCAGAGAAACCAGUGAAAUGGACCAUGCUAUUCAAAGAGUGUGGGUAAUCCUUGUUUUCUGUAGCCCACCUUUCUUUCUUUUCUCUUGCUGCUUUAUCCCCCUCAAGAUAGCCUAAGUCACACAAGACUGCACAGUAGUGCAAGAAUAUAAAAUUCAGAGAGAACCCUAGUUUCCUGGCAAUAAGAAUCAGGGAAAGGAGGGUCCCUGGGGGCUGGAGAAUAUAGGGACAUGCCAGAAAGGAAAGAGCUGGAACAGGACCUCUGCUAAUUAUGUUUGGGACCCUCCCUAAGUACCAGACUCAACCCCCAGUGUACACAUGCAGAACAGACCAAAAAAAGCAUAGCAGAGGCUUCAAGAAUUAAACUACAGGGACUUCUGUGGUGGUCCACUGGCCAAGACUCCUCAAUCCCAAUGUAAGGGACUUGGAUUCCACCCCUGGUCAGAGAUCUAGAUCCCCUUUUAGUGCUGAAACUAAAAGAUCCCACAGGCCACCAUGAAGAUUGAGAUCCAGCGUGCCACAACUAAGACCCGGCACAGGCAAAUAAAUAUUUUUAAAAAAAGAAUUAAACUACUAAAAUCCCAGACCAAACUCUGAGUGGUACAUGUGACAGAUAGCAAAGGCUUUAAUCUACCACUCUGGUAACGGUCCAGAUUUUGCUUUAAGGAAAAUACUCCUUCUCCAGCCUGAGCCAUAAUCAAUUAGGCCAAUAAAUAUGUUACAUCCUCCUGACUCCAGUGACUGGUCAGAGAUGAG